rnacentral:rRNA from 1 species
UACGGAGGGUGCGAGCGUUGUCCGGAAUCAUUGGGCGUAAAGGGCUCGUAGGCGGUUUGUCGCGUCGGGAGUGAAAACCCCGGGCUUAACUCGGGGCUUGCUUUCGAUACGGGCAGACUAGAGGUAUGCAGGGGAGAACGGAAUUCCUGGUGUAGCGGUGAAAUGCGCAGAUAUCAGGAGGAACACCGGUGGCGAAGGCGGUUCUCUGGGCAUGAUCUGACGCUGAGGAGCGAAAGUGUGGGGAGCGAACAGG